GCAGAUUUGUAAGCAAGGACAGCUACUUUUAAUGCUUCAAAGAACUGAGUUGCAAUUUAAAUGACCUCAUAGAUUGAUUCAACCAUAAAGCCUCUUACGAGAGCUCUAGAAAGUUUUUCUUUUCCUCUGAGUACGUUUAGUUUAGGAGAGGAGGCCUAAAUUUUUUUUCUAUCAGGCUCUGAAUAUUAGCUUCCAAUUUGGCCAAAGUUCUUUCUUUCUUUUCUUUUCUUCCUUCCUUCUUAUUUUUGGGGGUGAGGGGCUGUUUCCACAGCACGCAGAAGUUUCAGGGCCAGGAACUGAACCGAUGCCACAGGAGCAACCCAAGCCACAGCAGUGACAAUACCAGAUCCUUAACCCACUAGGCCACCCAGGAAUUCCAGGCCAAAUUUCUGGUCAUAGAAUUAUUAAAUCCUUUUCAAUAUCUUCUUAGGGUUCAGCUGGGACAAAUAGCAAAUAUUUUAGGCAAUGUUGAAAAACGUCUUGGAUUCAAGAGGUGUCCCAAGGAGGAUUCAAAUGUUUCUACCUUCCCAAGAUCCAGUCCUUCCCAAAGAUAGCCAAAAGAAAGAACUGACAGCCUGUAUGUCCCAGGCAGGCAGAAGGCCAAACCCAGCUCACAGAACACAACAUGAGAGAAGCAAGAAGGAACUAGUUAGCCCUGGGGAAGAACGUGUUAAAGCAGGCAGGUAGCUAGAGAAGAGAAGAGAAAGAGGGACCCAGGCGCAGGUGGCAGGAAACCACACCAGGCUUCUUGUAAACAGCAGGGAUCCAUGACUGACAAAGAAAAGUAGGAACCUCCAGACUGACAGGAAGCCACACAUUUUUGGUAUUAAGUGUCCUGGAGGAAGACAAAAAAAGGUGGGAAAAGGUGAGACUCUCUGGCUUUCCAAUGUAACCUUUUGCUCAUUAUGCCCUCAGUACAGUAAAAUUAGCCUUGCAGAUCAAAAGUUCCUAUCCUGCAUCAAUACCAUGACACUUCCCAUCAAGUCUAAAUAAGGACAAAAAUCUCUCCUCCACUUGUGAAGGUAGACCUGGGAUGAAAGUCAGGGAGUGCAACCCCCAAAGCCCUCUUUCCCCAAAAAAUAUUCCAGCCCUUCAUUUGCAGGCCCCUUAUAACCAGUUUGCCAAAGAAACCCAGGGCAGCUACCCACCUGGGUGCCCUUUCUCCCUCUGAGAGCAUAAUCUUGCUGAAAUAAAUCCUCAUUCUACUUUCUCCAACUCCCUAUCUCAUUUCUGAAUUCUUUUUGCUAUGAGACAAGAAUUUUACGUUCACUUGGAACAAAAGGAUCAGUGCGAUGGAUCUGAAUUUGGAAAGGAAGGGACCAUGUGAAAUUCUAUUUUUCUCUCUUGAUAGAGUGUUAGAGACAGAGUUUGGGGAGAAUUAGCUCUACUAAUAAUUUUCACCCUUUGCUGGCUUCUGCUAGCUCUCUCAGGAUCCCACCUGCAGGCUCUGAGCUAAAGUGGAGAGCAAAGCUCUGAAAUUUACCAGAAUUUGGCAAGAUUACUUUAGAAAUUGAUUUUAAUUUUAGUUUCCCAUUGACUAUGUAAGAGAAUAACAUAGCCGUUAGUUUCCAAAAAAAAUUUCCUCAGAGUCCUAUCAACUCUGAGAGGGGUCCGCAUGGGCUCCUUCCCUUGAAGGUGGACAAGGGAGUGUCUGUAAGGCCAUUGAUUUGUUGGGCUUUUGUUUAUAAUCUGUGUCUUAUAUUUUUCAUUAGCCUUCUGCAACAAAAUUUUUAAUGGAGCUAUUUUGGAAGUUUGAAGCCUUUUGGAAGCUUCUGUAUACCAAUAAAACAAGUAUCCCAUUCUGCUUGUUUAAGUUGGGAAUUCUCACUUUUAGAUGCACUUCUUAAAUGAUCUUACCUAAUCGGAAUGCUCCUUCUAAUGAACAUUCUAAUUCUAGAUUGUUUUUGAGAAUUUUGCCAGUUUUAUAGAUAUUUAUAGCUUCUAGGACCCACAGUUCUUAGACAUAAAAUAAGCAGAUGUGCUGGAAGAGAGUGCACUUAGCUUUUUGGAAUUUAAUGAUUUUGUUAGCUAAACUUUUGGGUUUCUUGGAGCUGAAAUAAUACCUAAAAGGGACUGUGUGAUGUUUAACAAUGCACCUCAUCGCACAGAAAUUUUCUUGAGGUUGGCAGGGAUCUAGUGUCAGUGUAACCCAUUCUGUGACCAACUUAUCCCAGCAUGAGAGUCUUUGGUUUGGUGGCAAGCAGUCUAUCAGCCCUUAAAUGCUUGACUUACACCCAUCAUUUUUUUUUUUUUUUAACUUUUGAUAUCCGAUUAGCAAUUAGCCUUUAUCUAUACAAAAAAAGACAAAACAAAUAUGUGCACCUUAAUAUAUUGUUAAUAAGAAAGAGAUAUUAUUGCACUUGGCCAAGAAAGGUCCCUGUGUGCAACACCAGUUCUCUCAGGACCUUGGACUGGGGAAGGGCUUGAACCAACAGAUCUCCACAAAUGGGGACUGUGGAAGAGGGGCUCAUGUGGAUGGUGGAAUGAACACUGCCUCUAAAAGUUCUUAUGUGGAUCUUUGAACAGAAUCAGGGGCUUAGGAUUUCCACUCAAAAAACCUAGGAAUUACAGUCUAAAAUGCUAGGGGCUUAGCUCCAGGUAGAACCAUCUUCCAACUUAAGCUGACCUUUCCUAUACUGGAAAGCCAAAUGGAUAGGGAUCUUGUUGCAAAGAGAGUAGAGCUCAGAACCAAGAGGAACUAACCCUUAUCCCUCAGAAACAGUGAGAAAUCAAAAAGGAGGUUUGCAGGUACCACAUCAGUAUUUCUCAUUGUCCCUGAAUGUUGUCAGAAUUUUGCUUCAGAUCCCACUGCUCCCUCUUCUGAGGUCCCUCUCUAGAUCUGCCGGCAAGCAAAAAACAUUCUAAUGCUCUCUUCUCCAUGCAGCAGGGGUUUUGUCUCUAAGAGACAAGGUCCAUUGUGUCAGUGACCAGGUGCAUAAAUUGUUAAAUUCAGAGGAGGAAAGGGAAGUACCUGAAGAAAGAUGGGCUACUGUAUAUAGCCCCCUAUACUGGCUACAAGAAACGUGCAGCGGGAGUUCCCAUCGUGGCGCAGUGGUUAACAAAUCCGACUAGGAACCAUGAGGUUGCGGGUUCGGUCCCUGCCCUUGCUCAGUGGGUUAACGAUCCGGCGUUGCCGUGAGCUGUGGUGUAGGUUGCAGAUGCGGCUCGGAUCCCGCGUUGCUGUGGCUCUGGCGUUGGCCGGUGGCUGCAGCUCUGAUUCAACCCCUAGCCUGGGAACCUCCAUAUGCCGCGGGAGCGGCCCAAGAAAUAGCAACAACAACAACAAUAAUGAAAGACAAAAAGACAGAAAAAAAAAAAAGAAAAGAAAAGAAAAA
rnacentral:lncRNA from 1 species